AUUGAACGCUGGCGGCAGGCCUAACACAUGCAAGUCGAGCGGAUGAGAGGAGCUUGCUUCUCGAUUCAGCGGCGGACGGGUGAGUAAUGCCUAGGAAUCUGCCUGGUAGUGGGGGACAACGUUUCGAAAGGAACGCUAAUACCGCAUACGUCCUACGGGAGAAAGCAGGGGACCUUCGGGCCUUGCGCUAUCAGAUGAGCCUAGGUCGGAUUAGCUAGUUGGUGAGGUAAUGGCUCACCAAGGCGACGAUCCGUAACUGGUCUGAGAGGAUGAUCAGUCACACUGGAACUGAGACACGGUCCAGACUCCUACGGGAGGCAGCAGUGGGGAAUAUUGGGAAAUGGGCGAAAGCCUGAUCCAGCCAUGCCGCGUGUGUGAAGAAGGUCUUCGGAUUGUAAAGCACUUUAAGUAGGGAGGAAGGGUUGUAGAUUAAUACUCUGCAAUUUUGACGUUACCGACAGAAUAAGCACCGGCUAACUCUGUGCCAGCAGCCGCCGUAACAC
rnacentral:rRNA from 1 species